AGGAUUUAAUUAGCUGCCGAGUCAUUCAUCCAAAUACUGGGUAAAUUAGCUCAGGACACCCAGUAAAUGUGUGAAUGAAGCGGGAGACAAAUUGGAUCUUA
rnacentral:pre_miRNA from 1 species